rnacentral:tRNA from 1 species
GGGCCUAUAACUCAGAUGGUCAGAGUGGCGGGCUCAUAACCUGCAAGUCCUGGGUUCAAAUCCCAGUAGGCCCA